CACCGAGCCACCAAAGACCCUGCUGAACCCCUUUGUGUCAGGGGGAGCACUAACGACUCACCUAACGAGAGGGAGGAGUAACAACCCCCAAGUGAAACCGAAACUCAGGUGUUAACGGCUCCUUAAGGAUAUAAGUAUCUGGAACUCCCAACUAGUCAGUCAGAGCU